rnacentral:rRNA from 1 species
AACGCGAAGAACCUUACCUACCCUUGACAUGCUCGGAAUCUGCUAGAGAUAGUGGAGUGCCUUCGGGAGCCGAGACACAGGUGCUGCAUGGCUGUCGUCAGCUCGUGUCGUGAGAUGUUGGGUUAAGUCCCGUAACGAGCGCAACCCUUGUCCUUAGUUGCCAACAGGUUAAGCUGGGAACUCUAAGGAGACUGCCGGUGACAAGCCGGAGGAAGGUGGGGAUGACGUCAAGUCCUCAUGGCCCUUACGGGUAGGGCUACACACGUGUUACAAUGGUCAGUACAAAGGGAAGCGAAGCCGCGAGGUGAAGCAAAUCUUUUUAAAGCUGUUCGUAGUCCGGAUUGGAGUCUGCAACUCGACUCCAUGAAGUUGGAAUCGCUAGUAAUCGUGGAUCAGAACGCCACGGUGAAUACGUUCCCGGGCCUUGUA